AUUUUGCAACAGUUCUGAACACAGUUUCGCUGUCUCCCGGAGACUCAAUCCUGCCUCUGUCCUAUAAGCAGUUUCCACCUCCAGCCCACGCAGCAGGGAAGCGGAGGAGGGCGCAGAGACUUGUGAUUGGACACCAAACCAGAAUUGCAGGGUGAAGGGUCAUUCCUUAGCCAGUCCAGCUUCCCAUCUCAUGCUUCAAUUCCUCCUCCAGCCUCAAUGCCAAGUGUGUGGACCUGACAGUGACGGAAGGACCAGAACAUUCAUGGUUCAAGUUUCGAUGUUGUUACCCAGGCUGGAGUGCAAUGGCAUAAUCUCAGCUCACCGCAACCUCCACUUUCUGGAUUCAAGCAAUUCUCCUGCCUCAGCCUCCCGAGUAGCUGGGACUACAGUUGUGACGAGUUUUCACCAUGUUGGCCAGGUUGGUCUCGAACUCCCAACCUCAAGUGAUCCACCCACCUGGGCCUCUCAGAGUGCUGGGAUUACAGGCAUCAGCGACCUCACCCUACUAGAGAAAAUAUUAAAGCACAUCAGGUGCAGAUGGCUGGCGUUUUUACUCAGUGGUGUCCUUCUGCUACAUCUGUCUGAGGAGCCACAGGUGGCUGCAGUUGGAGAGGGCUUCUCCUUCUUCCUCUUCUCCCCUAUGGCCACAACCCUGACAUGCCUCAUGCUUGAAAAGAUUCAUCAUUCAAACCAUAACACAAUGCUAUGUGGGUAGCUCAGCUGCCUGAGAGAGGAUCAGAAAACCCAACUCUAAUGGGCUGAUGAAUGGAAAAUACAUUACUGAUGUAACAUUCAAAGGACACUCUUGCUUUAUUUCAUUCGAGUGGAAUGGAAAGAUGAAUAAGUAGGAUGACUAUCGGCCAAUAGUGUGGUUUGUAAAUGAAAAUGUCAGAGAGUGAUUUUUGGCUUUUUAAAACCUUGUACUGCUUAUCUUUGAUGUGUAUACUUGAAAGGAUAAUAAAAUAUGUUUUCUCCCACUAGAAUGUGCAGUUAAAAUAAGUAUUAUUUCCUCAUAAGUGUUCAGCACCCAAAUUGUUUUUAUGUAAAUGCACUUUUAGUUUUUUAGUUUAUUCAAAUGCCAUUUAGUACAUUUUGACACAAAUGAAACUAAAUUAUAAAUUCACAUUAAAUAGAGUACUAGAUAAAAUACAGAACACCUAACUUUGAAUUUAAGAAAAAUGAUGAAUAAUGUUUCUUAUGUCCAUGCACUACUUGAGAUAUUACUCAGGAACUACACAAUGACAUUUCAGUCCACUAUGAACUGCAUAUAUAAUGGAGUCCCAUAAGAUUAUAAUAGAGCUGAAGAAUUCCUAUUGCCUGACGUCAUAGCCAUCAUAACAUCAUAGUGAAAUGUAUUACUUACACGUUUACAGUGAUGCUGGUGUAAAUCAGCCUAUACUGCAUUGCAGUUGUAUAAAAGUCUAGCAUAUAUAGUUACGUACAGCAUAUAAUACUUGAUAAUGAUAAUAAACAACUAUGUUACUGGUUUAUAUAUUUACUAUAUUUUUUAUCCUUAUUUACAGUGUGCUCCUUCUACUUUUAAUAAAAGUUAACUGUAAAAUAGCCUCAGAUGGGUCCUUCAGGAGGGAUUCCAGAAGAAGGCAUUGGUACCGUAGGAUAUGACAGCUCUGUGCGUGUUAUCGCUCCUGCAGAUCUUCCAGAGGGCAGAUGUGGAGGUGGAAGGAAGUGAUACUGAUGAUGCUGACCCUGUGUAGGCCGCGUAGGCCUAGGCUAAUGUACGUGUUUGUGUCUUAGCUCUUAACAACAAAAAAGUUUAAAAAGUAAAAAAUAAAAUAUUAGAAAUAGAAAAAAAAACUUAUAGAAGGAAAGAAAUAUAAAUAAGGACAAAAUGUGUUUGUGUUUUAAGCUAUUAUUACAAGAGUAAAGAAGUUUUUAAAAAAUUAAUUCUACUAUAAAGACACAUGCACACAUAUGUUAUUGUAGCACUGUUCACAGUAGCAAGAACUUGGAACUGACUCAAAUGCCCAUCAGUGAUAGACUGGAUAAAGAAAAUAUGGCACACAUAAACCAUGGAAUACUAUGCAGCCAUAAAAAAGGAAUGAGAUCAUGUCCUUUGCAGGGACAUGGAUGAAGCUGGAAGCCAUCAUUCUCAGCAAACUAACACAAGAACAGAAAACCAAACACCGCAUGUUCUCACUCAUAAGUGGGAGUUGAACAAUGAGAACACAUGAACACAGGGAGGAGGGGGGAAACAAC